GGGGAAUUUUGGACAAUGGGCGAAAGCCUGAUCCAGCAAUGCCGCGUGCAGGAUGAAGGCCCUCGGGUUGUAAACUGCUUUUGUACGGAACGAAAAGCCUGGGGCUAAUAUCCCCGGGUCAUGACGGUACCGUAAGAAUAAGCACCGGCUACCUACGUGCCAGCAGCCGCGGUAAUACGUAGGGUGCAAGCGUUAAUCGGAAUUACUGGGCGUAAAGCGUGCGCAGGCGGUUAUGUAAGACAGAUGUGAAAUCCCCGGGCUCAACCUGGGAACUGCAUUUGUGACUGCAUGGCUAGAGUACGGUAGAGGGAGAUGGAAUUCCGCGUGUAGCAGUGAAAUGCGUAGAUAUGCGGAGGAACACCGAUGGCGAAGGCAAUCCCCUGGACCUGUACUGACGCUCAUGCACGAAAGCGUGGGGAGCAAACA
rnacentral:rRNA from 1 species